GGCUUCUUGAUUGAAUAGGAAGUCUGACCUGCCCGGUGAAUAUGAAUUUAACGGCCGCGGUAUUUUGACCGUGCAAAGGUAGCAUAAUCAUUAGUCUUUUAAUAGAGGGCUGGAAUGAAGGGUUUGACGAAAUGCUUACUGUCUCAUUUAAUUUGAAAUUUGAAUUUAACUUUUUAGUUAAAAGGCUAAAAUUUUAUUGGAAGACGAGAAGACCCUAUAGAGCUUUAUAUUUUAAAAUUUAAAGUUGUAUUGAAAUAAUUAAUAGGCUUUAGAUGGGGAAAUAUUCUGUUGGGGUGACAAAAAUAUAUGAUAAACUUUUUUAUUUAAAUAACAUUGAUAUAUGAAUAUUAGAUCCAUUAUUAUUGAUUGAUAGAGAAAGUUACCUUAGGGAUAACAGCGUAAUCUUCCUCCAGAGUUCAAAUUUACAGGAAGGCUUGCGACCUCGAUGUUGGAUUAAGAUAAUAAUUAGGUGUAGCCGCUUAAUUAAUAGGUCUGUUCGACCUUUAAAUUCUU
rnacentral:rRNA from 1 species